GUCUACGGCCUGCCACCCUGAACAAGCCGGAUCCCGUCUGAUCUCGGAAGUUAAGCAGGGUCGGGCCUGGUUAGUACUUGGAUGGGAGACCACCUAGGAAGACGGGAUGCCGUAGGCG
rnacentral:rRNA from 1 species